rnacentral:rRNA from 1 species
UUUCCUCCGCUUAUUGAUAUGCUUAAGUUCAGC